AAGAGGAAGAGAGGAGAGACAGAAAGAGUCAUCACCCAGCUGCCAUCCAGCACGGACAAGUGAUUUGUAGGGGCGAGCAAUGCGAGCAAGUUGGCAAAAGUUGGAGACCAUUUCGGAUUCCAUCAGACCCUGUGGAUCUCCACUGCCGACGAAACAGAUCGUGCCCGAUUGCUCCACAACACCAGAUCUGGAACAUACAGAGGAGAGGAUAAGAUGCUGAGACCUUCCUGUUCUAGCUGCCAUGGUGUGCCACCAUGGUUCUCCUACACAUGCCCUCCUGUUGAGAGAAUGAAAAAGUGGUCCUUAUAGGAGGACCCUGCCUGGUAUAGCUGCCAUGCUUUGAGGGUGCGUCCAUAGGUAUUUCACCGCACCGGAGAUUCGCGGCGUAUCUCUGUGUUGGCACUCCGCAUUACCGCUUGCUAAUGUUCGGCGGUGUGCCAGGAUCUCUGCUGUGCCGUCUGGUAGCUGAAAUCAUGGCUCCGCUUCAAGAAUGGCACGGUGCCAACGUGUCUCUGCGGCAGCAGCUCCCGCCGCGUGCCACUUGGCAAAGACAAAGAGCCCGGGGGACAAAAAACACAAAACAAAAGAGCGACAAACACUCUGAUCCGACAGCUUAAUUAACACCAGCAGAGUUUGUUGGGUUAAUUAGUGUGACAGAUUUGGUCACAGAGGAGGAAUGUGGCAGUAACGCGUGUGAUGAACAAAAGCGAUGGGCGGGUAUGGCUAACUGAAGGAAUGCCUGUGAAUGCCAGGACAGCGAGGAGAGCCCGGUGCCAACCAUGCAAAGUCUGCUGGGCUUGCUGCUGAUAAGGAUUUGAGGAAGGCAGGAUGCUGAAGAAGACAAGACCACAUCUCAUGCAACCUUCUGCCACUCUGGAUCCAUCUUCACGCAUAGAUGCUGGAAUCUAUAGCACUGCUCAAUUAGAAAACAGGUGAGAGGGUUAGAGCAGGAGAAGAACAAGAAAGUGCAGAGAGGAACUGAAAAGGGAGCCAAGGAGGCCUUGGACCAGCCAGCAAUGACUCAGCACAAGGGAGCUGCUGAUUGGACCAGUUUUGGCAACUUGUUGUUAAUGACUGGUUUCUUCUUCUGUACUGACAAGUGUCCGUGAGUGGUUUUGAAAGGUGUGCAACCAAAAGAACAUCAGUAUCUAACUAUCUGAGGUACCUUGGACACAUGAAAGAUCACCUCUCAGACAAGGUGCCCCAUCUAAUGGACAGUCAAAAUUCGGUCAAGGCACAUAGCGUUACUUUUGUACCUCCUCCAAGUUCCGGUACUGUUUCAUUUUCAUAAACAGUGUGCCUUCCACUGUGGAGAGAGCAAGGAGUGCAAGGGAGAUCAGAAGCUUUUGAGGACCUGCUGAAUUUAACCUGCACUCAGGGAAAAAAUAUGAAACUUGCAGCUUUGAGAGAACUGAGAUCCUUGCUGGAUGUUAGACAUGGAUGAGGGAUAUGAAUAAUGUACAUUUUUUUCUUCCCCAUCUCUGUCAUUUUCUCCUCUUUGUUUUCUAUCUCUCUCUCAGAAGGGAGGGAUUUACAGACCUUUGUGCUUCAGAUGUUGCAUUGGCAUCACCUCACCAAUUUCGCAUGUGAGGGCAACGAUGGCCAGAGGCUAACGAUUACACCCCCCUCACCCCCCCCCCCCCCAAAAAAAAGAAGCAUUGUUUAUCAUGGGAACCCUCCUUAUGACUACGCGAAAAUAGACAUUAACGACCUAGCGAAAUUAGCGAAUUAAUUUGUCAUGCCUGAAAUUUCAUGCAAUUUUUUAACAGCAGUAAAGGAGGAUUACGUGUGGAUAUGCUAAUCUCAUCGUGUUAAUGAGGUUUGGAUCGUUGGCCUUCUCAUCUUGACUCUGCUGGGGAUUUUAAUUUCACCUCAUCUUCAUUAUGCAAAUGGAUAAAAAAAAGACUGAAAUGGGUGCUGUCAAAAGAAAAAGACAACAGAUAUGGAAGGGAGAUAUGGAGGAAGAAAAUGGUGGCUUGGAUCUCCCAUGUCCUUGCUUCAGGCUGAAAUGAAGCUCAAAUAUUUCUCCUCUGCAUGCUAACAAGGCAGAUACAUCGGAAGAAUUCUGUUUUUUUCUUCGUUUCUUUCGGAUAUCACUGUUGCACCAGUUCUGUAAUGAAGUGACAGAACAGAAGAUGGAAUUAACAAAAUGAAAAAAGGAGAGAGAGGGAGAGGGGGAGAGAGAGAGAGAAUGGUUAAUAUCCUUUGCUUAAUCAUGGCACAUGAGAUUGGCUGUAUGCAUAUCUCAUUUGCAUCUCAUUAAAUUGCACCUGCAGAAAGGGGGAGGAGAGAGUGGGGCUGGUUUGGAAUAGAAAUAAGGGAGAGCUGUUUCAUGGCUUUAGCUAAAAUGGAUCAUGUAGUUGCGGUCUUAUCAUGAUUUGUUCUAACAUCAAACAUGUUUUUGUUAGUUUGUUUUGUUUUUUUGUUUUGCUUCAGUGGCAACACCAUUAAAGAAAUUUUAGCCUAGUUGAAAAAUGUGCCUACCUGUAAAUUCAGAUCAGAUCUUCCUGCAUUACAUUUGUUGAGGUGCCGUAUGUGAUAUUCAGUGGGCUUUGUAUCUAGGCCUUAUGAGUGAUGUGAUUUUAGGAAGACUUUCUAUUUAUAGGGCCUAUACCAUUAGAUCUGUUCAAGGACAACUAGAGGAAAAGUGUGGUCAUCAUACAUAAAAACACACAUGAAUUCAGUGAUUCUGGAUUUAUUAAGGAUGCAAGGGAGAAUAUCCAAUUUCUGAUUUUAUGUUAAGGAGGAUAUAAAACCCUUCAUGUGUGGCUUUCACUGGCCACUGCUUUAAUGUAUGCAUGAUUAGUAUGCAGCUCUGUGCGUUCUUUAAUAGAACUCUGGGUGAACACUAUUGUCUCUAAUUCUAAAAUGUACCAUCUGCCUGGCUGCUGAGACUGGCCUUUCUCUUUGUGAUCAACACAAUGGGCUAUUCUGCACUGGACGUCCACACAUAACUAAAAUAAAUCAUGCCUCAGUCUGCAGGCCACUACAUAGCCCCAGCUAUAUCUGCCAUGAAACGCAGGACGGGACAGCCACCGAGAAGAAGAGAGAUGAGGAAAAUUUGGAAUUGUGUUUCACAAUGAUGGCGGUAAUAAGAAAAGGGAAUAUGAUUCAUUGCUCUCUAGUAAUUAUACAAUAAGAGAGAAGUGCAAUAUCUCACAUUCUGAAUUGUAUGCCUUUCCUCACUAUGUUUCUAUGUAUAUAUAACAGUGAUCCUUCAUUAUAAGUAAGCUAAAAGGGAGUAUAAGGUCUAAACAAAAGAAUGACUGAGCACCAGUGUGACUUUAAUGUAAUUACUCCCUGACGGAUGUAUUUAAAUGUGUAUGUAAACACUGGGGCAGCAAGGUCUACGUAUGAUAGAAAUGUCUGCAUCGAUUACCCGCUAUGAAUGUGAAAUGUUUAAUCUCGUUAAAAAUCUCAUGCCUAAAUUAGACUCCCUCAGCAGCUUUUUAAAUUGGGCUAUCCAUCAUGCAUAAUGAAGAAGUGACAGUACGUGUAUGUGUAUGGGGGUGCUAAUAUAAAAUUGUAUUAAAAUAUUCUUGUAUUA